GAUGAACGCUGGCGGCGUGCCUAAUACAUGCAAGUCGAGCGAACAGACGAGGAGCUUGCUCCUUUGACGUUAGCGGCGGACGGGUGAGUAACACGUGGGUAACCUACCUAUAAGACUUGGAUAACUUCGGGAAACCGGAGCUAAUACCGGAUAAUAUUUCGAACCGCAUGGUUCGAUAGUGAAAGAUGGCUUUGCUAUCACUUAUAGAUGGACCUGCGCCGUAUUAGCUGGUUGGUAAGGUAACGGCUUACCAAGGCAACGAUACGUAGCCGACCUGAGAGAGUGAUCGGCCACACUGGAACUGGGACGCGGUCAAGACUCCUGAGGGAGGCAGCAGUAGGGAACCGUCCGCAAUGGGCGAAAGCAUGGCGGAGCAACGGCGAGUGAGUGAUGAAGGUCUUGGGAGCGUAAAACUCUGUUAUUAGGGAAGAACAAACGUGUAAGGAACUGUGCACGUCGUGACGGUACCUGAUCAGAAAGCCACGGCUAACUACGUG
rnacentral:rRNA from 1 species